CUGGUAGUGGGGGAUAACGUUCGGAAACGGACGCUAAUACCGCAUACGUCCUACGGGAGAAAGCAGGGGACCUUCGGGCCUUGCGCUAUCAGAUGAGCCUAGGUCGGAUUAGCUAGUUGGUGAGGUAAUGGCUCACCAAGGCGACGAUCCGUAACUGGUCUGAGAGGAUGAUCAGUCACACUGGAACUGAGACACGGUCCAGACUCCUACGGGAGGCAGCAGUGGGGAAUAUUGGACAAUGGGCGAAAGCCUGAUCCAGCCAUGCCGCGUGUGUGAAGAAGGUCUUCGGAUUGUAAAGCACUUUAAGUUGGGAGGAAGGGCAGUUACCUAAUACGUGAUUGUUUUGACGUUACCGACAGAAUAAGCACCGGCUAACUCUGUGCCAGC
rnacentral:rRNA from 1 species